rnacentral:rRNA from 1 species
CCUACGGGAGGCAGCAGUGAGGAAUAUUGGUCAAUGGACGAGAGUCUGAACCAGCCAAGUAGCGUGAAGGAUGACUGCCCUAUGGGUUGUAAACUGCUUUUAUAUGGGAAUAAAAUGUUCCACGUGUGGGAUUUUGUAUGUACCAUAUGAAUAAGGAUCGGCUAAUUCCGUGCCAGCAGCCGCGGUAAUACGGAGGAUCCGGGCGUUAUCCGGAUUUAUUGGGUUUAAAGGGAGCGUAGGUGGAUUGUUAAGCGAGUUGUGAAAGUGUGCGGCUCAACCGUGGAACUGCAGUUGAAACUGGCAGGCUUGAGUACAGUAGAGGUGGGCGGAAUUCGUGGUGUAGCGGUGAAAUGCUUAGAUAUCACGAAGAACUCCGAUUGCGAAGGCAGCUCACUGGACUGCAACUGACGCUGAGGCUCGAAAGUGUGGGUAUCAAACAGGAUUAGAUACCCUAGUAGUC